GCAGUGGGGAAUAUUGCACAAUGGGGGAAACCCUGAUGCAGCGACGCCGCGUGGAGGAAGAAGGUCUUCGGAUUGUAAACUCCUGUUGUUGAGGAAGAUAAUGACGGUACUCAACAAGGAAGUGACGGCUAACUACGUGCCAGCAGCCGCGGUAAAACGUAGGUCACAAGCGUUGUCCGGAAUUACUGGGUGUAAAGGGAGCGCAGGCGGGAAGACAAGUUGGAAGUGAAAUCCAUGGGCUCAACCCAUGAACUGCUUUCAAAACUGUUUUUCUUGAGUAGUGCAGAGGUAGGCGGAAUUCCCGGUGUAGCGGUGGAAUGCGUAGAUAUCGGGAGGAACACCAGUGGCGAAGGCGGCCUACUGGGCACCAACUGACGCUGAGGCUCGAAAGUGUGGGUAGCAAACAGGAUUAGAUACCCUAGUAGUCCUCG
rnacentral:rRNA from 1 species